CUCAGGUUCCCGGGCUGCUGCCGGACGCGCGUCGGUUAGUUCCUGUGCACCAGUCCCCGCCGUUUCUCCGCCAGCAUGCCGAUGUUCGUGGUGAACACCAACGUCCCCCGCGCCUCCGUGCCGGACGGGCUCCUUUCCGAGCUCACUCAGCAGCUGGCACAGGCCACCGGCAAGCCGGCCCAGUACACAUCGCGGUGCACGAGGUCCCAGACCAGCUCAUGGCCUUCGGGGCUCAAGUGAGCCGUGCGCGCUCUGCAGUCUGCACAGCAUCGGCAAGAUCGGAGGCGCGCAGAACCGCUCCUACAGCAAACUGCUGUGCGGCCUACUGGCCGAGCGCCUGCGCGUCAGCCCGGAUAGGAGAGUGGGGCGGCGGGGAACCUACAUCAACUACUACGACAUGAACACGGCCAACGUUGGCUGGAACGGCUCUACCAUCGCGUGA